rnacentral:rRNA from 1 species
GACGAACGCUGGCGGCGUGCUUAACACAUGCAAGUCGAACGGAAAGGCCCUGCUUUUGUGGGGUGCUCGAGUGGCGAACGGGUGAGUAACACGUGAGUAACCUGCCCUUGACUUUGGGAUAACUUCAGGAAACUGGGGCUAAUACCGGAUAGGAGCUCCUGCUGCAUGGUGGGGUUUGGAAAGUUUCGGCGGUUGGGGAUGGACGCGCGGCUUAUCAGCUUGUUGGUGGGGUAGUGGCUUACCAAGGCUUUGACGGGUAGCCGGCCUGAGAGGGUGACCGGCCACAUUGGGACUGAGAUACGGCCCAGACUCCUACGGGAGGCAGCAGUGGAGAAUAUUGCACAAUGGGCGGAAGCCUGAUGCAGCAACGCCGCGUGCGGGAUGACGGCCUUCGGGUUGUAAACCGCUUUCGCCUGUGACGAAGCGUGAGUGACGGUAAUGGGUAAAGAAGCACCGGCUAACUACGUG